rfam:Lactobacillus sanfranciscensis TMW 1.1304, complete genome.
GAGCGGUUAGCUCAACUGUUAGAGCAACAGAUUCUUUGUCUGUGAGAUUGAGGUUCAAGUCCUUGACUGCUCA